AUCGCUUCUCGGCCUUUUGGCUAAGAUCAAAGUGUAGUAUCUGUUCUUAUUACGCUUGGGUUUUCUCCAAAUAUUGAGGAUCAGUAUCCGGCAUUAUGCGCAGCGAGAACACCUCAA
rnacentral:snRNA from 1 species